GUCUGGGGAAAAUACAAAGUUGAAACAAGAAGCAGGAAGCCAUUGUUUUUCGAAACCACACCCCUUGGACCUUCUGUUCUCCCUCCAUGGGAUGAAACACAAAGUGCUCAGCUUCCAAGGAAAAUGUCUGAGUUUGAGGACUUGUAUGCAGGCUGACUGCAGGACUGCACCUCACCAGAUGAGGAAACCAAGAAAGACAAAGAUCAGGUGAACUGUCCAAAUCACACAGACAUUUACUCUGUGGCUGCCAAACUCCAAACACUUUUGACCUUGGUCCAACACACAAGUGAUGCAGCAGAGCUCUUCUGGCAACUGCAAGUCAGUUGGAGACCAGAACACAUUUCUCCCUUGUCCACGUUCCUGCAGUGGAUCCUUUCUGGGCUGCAGCAGCUGUUGCAGGGGAUUUUUUUCCCCCUGGAAAAUUCAAAUAUGGGAAUUUUGAUCAUCAGAAAGAGGGUAGAAUGCCAUUUUAAAGUCAAUUAUGCAAAGGUGUAACAACUUGUCCACAAUAUGAAGCUUCUGAGCUGUGGACCAUAGAAGUGACAGCAGAAAUUCAUCUCUGAUUCAUCACUGAAUUGUUUGAUACACCAAGUAUCCAGCUUCAAUCAAAAUAAAGAAGUUAGCUUCAUAAAAUGUAGAAUGAAGAAAACAAUCGAGACAAUAAUCCGUGAGCAAGCAGAUAUGUGGAUGCAAAAGAGAUGCCUACAGUAUUCCUCUGUUGGUAGUACCAAGAAGAAAGGUCAUGAAAAGCCCCAUAAAUAGCCUCUAUUACCCAGAAAGCAAGCCUUGAGGGAGAGAUGGAAUGGAGUUCAAACAAGGGAAGCCGAGAUGUAUCAUCUGCCUGCACUGAAGUAUAAGCAGUUACCAGCUGAUGUCAUACACUGCUUGAUGACGUUGAUAUUGCUGGAAAUAUCUCUAGGACUGAAAAUAGCAGAAAUGUCAGUAAGAAAGUGGCAGAGCUCUACAGCCAUGGUCUGGUUUUGCUGUUCAGGGUUUAUUGUUCGGCUGAGAAAACCUUGAAGAUUCCCAAACCAGUGACAUGAAAACCAAGGGAUGAAGGAACACCCUCCUGAGCAGGUUUGAGGGCUGAAGGUGGCUGAGCUAGAGCUGUCAGGUUUGCUGUGCUCUUGUUCAGCCCUCCCACAUCUGCCCUGGUGUUGCACAGGAGGACAAGGAAAACUGCUGGACAGCACCACUCAGCUUCCCAACAGCUCUCACCACACCGAGCAAUCAGCAUCCUGGACCUUCCCACAGAAACAGCUGCAAGAGAGACACAAAGGACAGUGCAAGCUACCUGCUGUGCCUCAUCUUUUCUCCAAUCGGCUCUAUUUAAAAUGAAAAUCCAGCCAGAGAAAGGACACCAAGGGCUGCUUGUUCAGUAUUCCCUCUGUGCUUAGAUGAUUACACCAGGGAAGAAAAAAAGAGGGACAGCAAAACCAAACAGUAGGAGGCCAGGAUCCAACAGUAGGAGAGAAGAAACCUUUUUAUCCUCCAACUAUUGCAGAAAGUCAGAAGAGGAUCUGUUAGUGAAUUGCAAUUUGUUCUCUCCUGUCCCUUGUCCAGGGAGGACUGUAGUGUUACUACCUCAUUUUCAAGUAUUUCAGCCAGUCUAUGCUAAUUUUCCACGCCUUCCUCCCCACCCUCACCAAGUCCUGUUCCUACCCACCUGACUUCAGCUUUAUCUUCAUCUUUUAAAUCAGCUUGAAUCGCCAUCCCAGACCCACCAGAUUUAUGGUUAAAAUUAAAGCUUUGGCAAGCUUCUGUCACUAUGUUGCCCAUUACUGUGGUACAAUAUAAUGUAAUUAAUGUUUUUAUGUUUAAGGAAGAGGAAGCACAUAUGUUCCUCAGCUGCUGAUGAACAGAUUUAUAGGUAACACAUCUGAGUCAGUGCCCAUGUUUAGACAUAAGCCUGACAGACCACUAAUCAUUUUCUAAAGGCUGUGCACCACUGCCCUGCUUCCCUGGAUUUGCAAGCAGGACUGUGCUGGGAUGCCAUAGUGAGAUGAUAGAUUUCAGGUGACACAAGGGGAGGAAGCAAAACAUCAGUAAAUGUUUCAGCAUAUCUAUCUCUUCAUAAGCAGAUGUUCUUGCUUAACACGUACCAUUAAGCUGGAGCACACCGUGUGCCUUCUUAAAGAGAAACCCAGCCUGCUCAGGGAAGGCAGCUCACAAAGGCACCCGAGCCAGCCUCUCUUCUGGCCUCAAAAAUUCAAGCCCUAUUUCCAGCAAAACCCUCUGCAUGGAAGAGGGGAAGCUGUCCCAUCCACAGCAACACAAGAGGACUGAGCUUAUAACUUAGAGAGACCUUUCCCAUCCCUAGUUGCCAUUGCCAUUUUGACUGCACUCAGCUGAGGGGCACAAGUGCUGGAACGGUGAUGGGUGGCACCAGUGGCCCCUGGCAGAAAGGCAGGGCACACAGCUAAGGAUAACCAACCUUCCAGCUGCCUCAGCAGGAUGUCCCAGAUGUUCACCAGAGCACUGCCCAACGCCUUUGUUACCAGGUGAGGGGUGGGGGGUGUUUAACCACCACCAGUUUUCCCAGAAUUUCUUCAGACCUGCACUGACCUGACCAAGGGAAGGCUCAGCAGUGGCCCAGGCCAGCCACUGUUACACCCCCCUUCUCGACAGGGAAUAGAAUGGAAAAGUUCACGGCUCAAGAUGAAGGAGGAAGAUCCCUUCCCAGCUACCAUCCCAAGCAAAGCAGACUUCACUUGGGGAAGAUUAAUUUAAUUUACUGCCAAGUGAAAAUAGAGCAGGAUUGUGAGAAAAACUAACACACACACCCCAUAAAUACCUUCCUCACUGAGCUCAGCUUCACUCCUUAAUCCAGAAUCCCUCUGCCUCCUGUCCCCCUGCCCUGCUGGACUCUGCUGCCCCUCCUGCUGCCCAUUUCAUUGUGCCCAGCGAGGGGCUCCUCAGUGACACCCUGGGAUGGACACGUGUGAGACCCACAGACAGGUAAGUAUGAGAAACAAACAUCUUGCAAGUUUGGAGCUUCCAUCUUGUUUUCAGCAAUCAAGUUUUCCUUUAGAUUUUUGGGGUUUUAUGAACUCCAAUAACAGGAGUCAGCAACGUGGAACUCCCUUUCCCUUCCAGCUCUGUUCCUAGGGGAGAGGGUAUGGAUAAAGGGGGAAUAUCCAAGGCCCCAGCCCACUGUCUUGGACACCAGAGAAAAGAAUUCCUCUUCUUUCAAAACCUGCAAGUCUAAGCUCCCCUUUAGGGAUUUAAUUAGCUUGAAAAAUGUGAGUUUUCUCCUAUACUUAUAGCUGGGGGCUGCUUAUGCAUUUUGGUGAGUCAUGCUCUACUUCCAAGCACAGGCUCCUUUUCAGAGCCCACUGUAUUCAAUCUACUGACUACUGACUUAAUGGCAUUAAGAAAAAAUAACUCAGUUUAAGAAAAUCUUUGCACAGAGCAGAUUUGUUAACCUAUACUAAAGACCAUUCUGGGCACUUUCAUUCAGAAUUAAAGUGGUUUUAAUUCAAGUUAGUGUUUGAGUUAAAUCUAAAUUAAAUUUGAAUUUAAAUCAUUAAAUCUGUGCGGGGAUUUAAUGCAGUUUACAUAAUCAAUUUUAGGUUCAUACCCUUCAUUAAUUUGGAUGACUAUCAUCCAGUCUUUGCUUACUUAAAAAUAGUUCUAAUGCAUUUAUUAAUAUUAUAUUCCUCUAACUGGGUUAUUCUUGAAGAAACAGGGAGUUUGAGCUUUCUUUGAAGUUUCACAAAAUGAGAGUAUCUUGCUGAAGAAAGUCAUUUUGUUCUCACGCAUAUUAAGGGCAGGGAGGGCUUUUAAUUCCACUUAAAGAGCUUCUGUGUUGUCAUAGCCAGUAAAGCAGGAACAAGGAGCAGGGCUCUUCCCUCAUUAGCAACAGCAGGAGAGCCCAGGCGUGCACUGCACCCUCAGAGGACAUCCCCAGCCCAAGGACCAAACCCAGCAGCGUGCACCAGGGUGGGCAAACAGCACAUCUGCCACCUCCUGCAGCAGCCUCCAGACCUGAAUGAGGGGUGUGUGUGGGCACUGGGGACCCACAGCACAUCUGCCACCUCCUGCAGCAGCCUCCAGACCUGAAUGAGGGGUGCACGUGGGCACUGGGGAUCCCCCUCUGUUUGUGGUGCCUUUGCAUCACGUUUUCACCCCAGCCAGCAGCAAAGAACCACCCUGCUCCUCCCUCACUGCCCCGGCAGCAGGACUGAGCAGAGAAUGGGAAGAGUAAAAGUGAAAAUCUCAUGGUUUGAGUUAAAGAAAAUAAAUCAAAAGCCACGUGUCCAAGCAAAGCAAAACAGGGAAUUCAUUCCCCAUUUCACAGGUGUUCAGCCAUCCCAGGAAAGCAGGGCUCUGUCACAGGUUUGGGAGGACAAACAGCACCACCCUGAAUGUCUCUCCUUCCUUCUUCCUCACUGGGGUGUGGGGAGAAGCAGAAAAGGCCUCGAUGUAAGCACUGCACAGCAGUAACAAAAACAUCUCUGCAGUAUCAAUUCUGCUUUCAGGGCAAAUCCAAAACACAGCCCCCACUAGCUCCUGUGAAGAAAACUGACUCUACCCCAGCCAAAGCCAGCACACUUUGGAAAAUGCAGCCUUUGGUGUAGAGUCCCUACUUUUUCCCCUUCUCCAUGAAGUGCCAGCCAUUUGUGAUUAAACUCCCACCUGUCACCAGAUUUCAGAGGAAUGCGGAGUGGAUUCAUUUUACAGUAUCAGAACCAGCUGCUCACAAAAACAGCUUUCACUCUCCCAAGGUCUAGUAAUCAUUUCAGGAGACAAGAAGAGAAGAGGAUAUCUCAGCUGACACCGGAGAGCACAAAUGUUGACACAAAUAUGAAUCUGAAUUUUCUGACAGUAGUUGAUUGUGUUGCUUUAGAAGGUUUGACAUGCCACUCAGCCGACAGGGCCCUGUUUAAUGCUUCACUUUAAGUAUUUGUAUGAUCUUUGGGGUUGUCAGUUCUGGGAAUUGCAGUGCUUUGAGAGCCGUUGCAGCAAUCUCCCUGUGCGCUACACCUGUUAGGGUAAAAUGCCUGCUUCCUUCUCAGGUUGUUGGGCUGCUGGUAAUCUGGAAUCCUGUGGCAUCUACGUGCAAGAGUGCUGCUAAAUUUUUUCAUGCUUUUGCUGCUUUACAGCAGCUAAUUUUCACUGAGUCCAAGUGCCCAUGACACCAGCCAAGUGUGUGCAAAUGCAGCAGGUGUGUCACAGGAGGAUGUGCCUGUCCACAGCCUCUGGAGCUUCAUCUCAGAUUGCUCGUGCUUCAGCGCCUAACACUAGAAAACUAUUAACCUGGUCUGUGUUCCUUCUAAUUUUCAGUUAUCAGGGAAAUCUGAUUUCAAACAGUUCAGUCAACAUUGGAAUGUUUCAAUAUAGUGGGUUUUGUCCUGCCAAAAAUAUUUCUCAUGAAGUCACAGAUAGUCCCCUCAAAUUAGAAUUUGGGCCAGCUAGAACAUUUGGAUAAAGGCUGGCCUGCUCCUAGAAGAGCUGAACUGCUGUGUUAUAGCAAGCUGCACUUGUUCUUGCUUCUGAGGAACUGAAAUUUCAUGGGAAUGCACUGAAAAUUGUUAAAAAUUGA